UACAGAGGGGGCAAGCGUUGUUCGGAAUUACUGGGCGUAAAGGGCGCGUAGGCGGCCUGUUAAGUCGAACGUGAAAUCCCCGGGCUCAACCUGGGAAUGGCGAUGGAUACUGGGCAGCUAGAGUGUGUCAGAGGAUGGUGGAAUUCCCGGUGUAGCGGUGAAAUGCGUAGAGAUCGGGAGGAACAUCAGUGGCGAAGGCGGCCAUCUGGGACAACACUGACGCUGAAGCACGAAAGCGUGGGGAGCAAACAGG
rnacentral:rRNA from 1 species